rnacentral:rRNA from 1 species
GUCUACGGCCAUGCCACCCUGAACGUGCCUGAUCCCAUUUGAUCUUGGAAGCUAAGCAGGGUGGAGCUUGGUUAGUACUUGGAUGGGAGACCACCUAGGAAGACCAGGUGCUAUAGGCA